rnacentral:rRNA from 1 species
UAAGAGNNACGGUGCGAUGUGNAGCAUAUUUUAGAGCUAAAAUCAAAUUAUUUAUCUUUAUAAUUUUACUUUCAAAUUCACUUUUAAUAAAUUUUUCAUAAUUAUAUCCAUUUAAAUAAAUUUAUUGUAACCCAUUAAAACUUAAAUAUAAGCUACACCUUGAUCUGAUAUAAAUUUUUAUAAAAAUUAUAGAAAAUUAUUUUUCUUAUAAAAUAUUCUAUUAACAACGAUAUAUAAACUGAAAAACAAAUUUAAGAAAGGUACAACGUGGACUAUCGAUUACAAAACAGGUUCCUCUGAAUAGACUAAAAUACCGCCAAAUUUUUUAAGUUUUAAGAUCAUAACUAUUACUACUCAAAUAUAUAAAUUACAAUUUAAAUAAUAGGGUAUCUAAUCCUAG